CGAUAAGUCACCCAUGGUCUGGGGCUUGGCCUGAUCAAAAGGUAAAACAGACAACCUGAGGAAAAUGAGAUAUUCUAGGAGGAAGAUAUUGCGAUAGCUGAUUGGUCAUCCGGAGAUGGGAAAAUCUUGAUUCAUGGGAGUCGGUCUGCAGGAGCACAGAGAAAGAAUACCAACAAGAGUACGACAGUUAGUCUUAGAAGUCUUGACCUUGCAUGGAUCAAGAAUGGUGUUCUCUCUGCAUACUUGAAUUUAAAACCACUGGAGAAUUUGGAAUGCCUGUAGGCAACUGUCACAAAGAGCCCCUCCCAAGACUACUCAGAGGUGGAAGAGCCUCUCCAGAGGAAAAAUGAGCAACUCCAUAGUGAAAAAAGGAAUAUGAAUCUUAGACUCUCUUACCAGGAAAAGUGAUGCACUGAGAGACCCCAAGAAUGAUGCAUAUUGCAAUUUCAGAAGCAAAAAUCUAAGAUGGUGUAUUUUGUAAAGAUAAUCAAGUGUUUUCUUAAGGAAAGCAGAGGAGGCCCAUCUCAGUCUGGGAUUGGUGGGAUACACUUGUCCAAUACUGUCUAUUUCAUGACAAAAAAAUGGAUUGGACUCUAAAUUGCCUAGUAGGGUUCUUCUAUGUCUGUGUCAUCUUCUCCUCACUGUAUCUAUUUCAACUGGGUUGUAUAUUUCUCUUGGGCAAGUUAAGCUUGUGAAUAUGGCCCUCCUUUAAUUCUCUAGAGCCCUCCAAGUUAACAUGUCUUUGAAAACUG
rnacentral:lncRNA from 1 species